rnacentral:rRNA from 1 species
AUUGAACGCUGGCGGCAGGCCUAACACAUGCAAGUCGAAUGGUAACAGGAAACAGCUUGCUGUUUCGCUGACGAGUGGCGGACGGGUGAGUAAUGUCUGGGAAACUGCCUGAUGGAGGGGGAUAACUACUGGAAACGGUAGCUAAUACCGCAUAACGUCGCAAGACCAAAGAGGGGGACCUUCGGGCCUCUUGCCAUCAGAUGUGCCCAGAUGGGAUUAGCUAGUAGGUGGGGUAACGGCUCACCUAGGCGACGAUCCCUAGCUGGUCUGAGAGGAUGACCAGCCACACUGGUACUGAGACACGGUCCAGACUCCUACGGGAGGCAGCAGUGGGGAAUAUUGCACAAUGGGCGCAAGCCUGAUGCAGCCAUGCCGCGUGUAUGAAGAAGGCCUUCGGGUUGUAAAGUACUUUCAGCGGGGAGGAAGGGAGUAAAGUUAAUACCUUUGCUCAUUGACGUUACCCGCAGAAGAAGCACCGGCUAACUCCGUG